rnacentral:rRNA from 1 species
UACGGGGGGUGCGAGCGUUGUCCGGAAUUACUGGGCGUAAAGCGUGCGCAGGCGGUUAUGUAAGACAGAUGUGAAAUGCCCGGGCUUAACCUGGGAACUGCAUUUGUGACUGCAUGGCUAGAGUUUGGCAGAGGGGGGUAGAAUUCCACGUGUAGCAGUGAAAUGCGUAGAUAUGUGGAGGAACACCGAUGGCGAAGGCAGCCCCCUGGGUCAAGACUGACGCUCAUGCACGAAAGCGUGGGGAGCAAACAGG